UCACGACACAUCUUCCAACAUCGCGGACGUCAAUCCCCGGUAGGGGGCAGUUCGCCAUGGGUAUCGCGACCAAUCUCGCACCAUCAGAUCCUGCCAUAGGCUUGCUUGCGGUGAGAAAAUUAUUGAAGUAGAAAGACAUGCGGAUUAUCGUCCAGUCCAUUGUGGAUGGUAAACUUCGUUGCAUGUAUUCUUCGAUUCUCCCCUUUGCAUCAAAAUGAGCUGCAAGAAUGGAAAUUUUUAUUCCUAUUUUAAGUUCGAAACAUUUCUCACAUGUGUAUUUUAGAAUUUUGUAUUCAAAUUAAUGUUAUGUUGUUAAUUUGAAAAUUGGAACCAAUCAUUAAGAUCUAAACCGAAACUGAUCUAGUUAGACUUUGAGACAUCUUCAUUACAUGCUCCUAUUGUGAAUCAGUUUACAUUCCCAGCACUAAUAGAACUUUAUCCAGUCUUUGGACCGAGUUAAUUCAAUCCUUGUCCAAUUAGGUAAAGUUUUUACUAAGCCUUUAUACCUAUCUAAUGGUUUAUCAUAAAGAUCUCAAAAACGGCCCAAGGCAGAAGGCCGACGGACGUUUUUGAGACCGAGACAAAAUAUGUUUCUAUCCGGACCGACCUAAACAGUAAAUAACGUAUUUAUUUUUUUGUCGAAGACUCAGAGGCAAAUGGCAACGGUUUUAUUAGAUUGCGCCUAUAGAAAACAAAACAAUAAAAAAAUUUGAUAUUUAAUUAUUUUACUUUAGUAAACAAACAAUCAAUUAAAAUUGCUUCGGCCAUUACGUAUAGGAUUCCGGACCGUGGUCAAAUAUCGUAAAAUUCCGCCCGCUGCUGCAGCCAAUCAGAUUGCAGAAAACGCUAGGAUUCCGCCCGCUGCUGAUUUACAAAAAAAUAACAAAACGUUAUUCAAUUCUAGAACUCAGUGAUGAAAA